UAGAUCUUUGGUUCUGGGAGCUGUUUUUUGGCACUACAGUGAACUGGAUCUCCCAGAUUGCUUAUCAAGUUGAUCAAUAUGCCCUUAAUGCACAUAUUAUGUGAUAGUUAUACCGUUAAUAUACGAACAAGGAGAAAAAAAGCAAAAUGCAAAAUCUUGUGUACAUAUUGUGAAACUGAUUGAACACUCACUGAUUUAUUUGUCUAAGCCAAAGAUGUCAAGACUCGAGUAAAUUUCUUUU
rnacentral:misc_RNA from 1 species